rnacentral:lncRNA from 7 species
GACAUGAAAACAUACUCACAGUCAGGUUCAGUUGUGUUCUUCUUUCAUUUUGACAGCCUAUUUUGGUUACAAAGACUGCACUGAAGCAACACCCUUUCUGAAAGGGAUGUGAUAAGCAGGACUUUUUUUCCCUGUAUCUAAUAAAAGUCAAAGGUAGAGUUAUGACUUAUGGUUAGAAAGAAGGAUAGAAGGAAUAUAGGAAAGAGAACAUGAAAAAGAAGAUAGGUUAUGGAGGAUGGAAAAAAAAAAAAAUUGUUCAGGUCAGCUUUGAAGCUUCUGCGAAAUGCUAAGGGAAAAGCCUCUACUGCAGAGCCUGAGAUUUCUUCCUUUGUCUCUCCAUCUUCAUCUGUUUGGCUUCAUACUGGUCCUGUCCUAGCUGGAUCUGUUUGACAAGUUGCCAUGGCCAUCCAAUAAUCUUUCAAACCCAACUUCAGUCUUUGUCUGGGAUGCCCAUUUAACACAGCUAUUUCAAAAUGCUUCCCUUUGCUUCCUUCUUUUGCUCCCUUGUGAAGAAAUUGUUUUAAAAGCAUUUUCACUGCUUUACUCAAAGUCCAUCCUGGUGGGAUUCUCAUGGCAUUUGGAGGAAGCCUGAGCUUAAAAACCCUCACAGCUUUUCUAACCUGCCUGCUGUGUUUCUAAUGCACUCCUAUUCUCGUUUCCCAGCGGUGCAUUGGUUCACCUGGUCUUGUGUGCAGUCUCCUCUGGGGAUCUUUAAUAGUCGAAUGUUUGCAUUUGCGAAUAUAGAAGGAGAUGCCUUCUUCCUCGAAAUGGGAUUCUCCAUUUUUAUCCACUGUCUGCUAGAAACAGAAUUUCCUCCACUGCUCAAGACACUGCUUGUCUUUCUUUAUAUUGUGACUGCAAUACGCCAUUUCAGAAGUGUCAUCACCUUUAUUUUUUUACAUUCUGAUGUAGUCUGUAAUCAACACUAGCUUCAGCGACUCUCAUUACUAGCUCUUGAAGUGAUUCUUCAGACUCAGCAAGAACAACAUCAUCAUCAGAUUACAGCAUCUGCUUCCUCCAAUUUCAGUCUUACUGCUGUAGCCAACAACAACGACGCACAUUUGCAUUUCAGUGCACAGGCAGAGCUGAUGCUGUGCCACCGUGCAGCCCUGCUGGACUUUCUCUGUGCCCAACAACCACCAUGCAGUGCCCUUUGUUCAGCUCACUGCAGUGAGUAUGUUGGCAUGUUAUCCUGGCACAGAGUUGGAGGGAUAAUCUGGAAAAACAGCACAAUAACAAGUGAAGUAUGGGGAAUCCUGAGAGGGAAGAGCAUUUGUGGUCUUAAUGCCAAAGGAUUGAUCAGUGAUUGUCAUCUAUACAAGAGAACAUCCACAGCUGUGAACAAACCCAGAUAUCUCCUCAAAAGAGAAGAGAAUGAGACUCCUCCUGGGGUGCACAAAAGAAGGAGGAAUGCUCAACCAUUUAACCUCAGAAGUGUCUGAUGGCACUUUCCACAAUCAGCACUGACAGCUCAAGGAUGAAAGUCAAGUGUGGAUAGGCAGAUCCAUCCAGCCAACCGUUAUCCUGAGGCAAAGUCCAAGCAGAAGGGUACCAGUAAGUACAGCGGAGCCCAGGGAAGUCCAUAGGCAAGCUUGUAUGAUGCUAUAUUUACAUCUAAAGGAAGGGAUUUGUGGCCCAGUUCUGUCUCACAGAACUGUUUUCUUUCUUUUUUUUUUUUUUUCAUGAUAGUUCUUAACUUUUUUUUAUGUAAACAACUUUCAGUAGUGUCUUUCAUUGUUCACUGCAGGAUGGCCUACCUCUACUAAAACAGUCUCCCAGUGAGAGUGUAGUUUGUAUUUCAGAAGAUAAAUAGUUCCUAAAAAAUAAAGCAUUCUUUACAUGGUGUACCUUUCAUGUGUAUUUGUGUUCUAUGUACUUUAUACAUUCUGCUGGGAUUUAGUAGAAUAAAACUAUUUAUUU